UUUUAAAUGCAGUGUUUCUUCUCUCUUGCUAAGAUCUGGACGAAUGUUCCACCAAGCAACACAACUGCCAGUUUCUUUGUGUCAACACCAUUGGAGGUUUCACUUGCAAGUGCCCUCCCGGCUUCUCUCAGCAUCAAACCGCCUGCAUAGACAACAAUGAGUGCAUGGGUCAGAACAGUGUGUGCGGUUCUCAGGCUUCUUGUGUCAACACUCCUGGUAGCUUCAACUGUGAGUGCUCUAAGGGCUUCACUUUAGACACUACGGGCCUGGAAUGUGAGGAUGUGGACGAAUGCAGCAGUAACCACCGCUGUCAACAUGGCUGUCAGAACAUGAUGGGAGGAUUCCGCUGCGGCUGUCCUCAAGGCUACGUGCAACACUACCAGUGGAACCAGUGUGUCGGUGAGUCGCACUGACAUCUCCG